rnacentral:rRNA from 1 species
UACGUAGGGUGCAAGCGUUUAUCCGGAAUUAUUGGGCGUAAAGAGCUCGUAGGCGGUUCGGUAAGUCGGGUGUGAAACCUCCAGGCUCAACCUGGAGACGCCACCCGAUACUGCUGUGACUAGAGUCCGGUAGGGGAGCGUGGAAUUCCUGGUGUAGCGGUGAAAAUGCGCAGAUAUCAGGAGGAACACCAGCGGCGAAGGCGGCGCUCUGGGCCGGAACUGACGCUGAGGAGCGAAAGCGUGGGGAGCAAACAGG